CACUAGUUGCCGUUUGUUUGGUAUUCCUUGUUUCUCUCUUUGGCUUAGUUGGUUUUCCCAACCGGCAGACAUGGUCACUCCAGAUCUGGAAACCCAGGAGCAGAAAAAUCGAACAGACGGAAACUAGAUACAAGCCAAUAAAGAUUUAUUUACAGAGAAAGUCAAGGCAAGUAAUCAGGAAGGACAACUAAGUGGAAGUGGGAAUCAAACUGGGGCUAACCAAACCUAAUUCAAAAAAUGGGUAAAUGUAUGAAAAUCGCGUAAUGCCGCUUAGUCUGUCGGGACAGAGUGGAGCCGGAGAUGUACAGCAGCGACUUGAGGAAGGCAGGCAGGAGACAGGUCGGGGACUGGCAGGGAAAACAUAUUAUGAGUGUCUAUGGACUGGCUAAAAGUGAAGUCGGGCUUUUAUGGAAUGAGGUGAUUGUGAACAGGUAAGCUGAUCCCUGCAUUAGUCACUCACUACCAGAGUGAUGGGGAGAGGGUGAGCAAAGCAGACCAAGAGGGAAAGAGAAAGGAAGGAGAGAGGGAGAGGGAGAAGGAGAGGGAAAGGGAGAGAGGGGACCAGGCAGGGGCUGGGGUUCCUGACAGACACAUGUCAAUAAACAUGACACUAGACCUCUUUGAGUCACUGGAAAAACAGUCCAAUACCUCCAGUGACAAAACACAGGUGGUAUCAUCCUCUCUUCUCUCACCCUCUUGUUUAUUCUCUUCUCUGACCAUUGUCUCGCUUUCUCUUAUAUUCAUUCAUCCUUCUUCUCAGUUUUCAUCUCCCAAUUCUCCUUCUUCUGCCACUCUUCACAGGCACCUCUACCUUCUCUCCGUUGCCGUGGGGAUAGAGAGGAUCAUGGCUGACUGACAGCAUCUUAAGCCAAUUGGAUUCACCCACAGUCACAGAGCUGAACACUUAUUGGCCAGUCCCAGGGGAGCUGGAAUGUAUUGAUGUGUGUAUUAGCGUGUAUGUGUGUAUUCAUAUGUGUGUGUGUGUGUGUGUGUGUGUGUGUGUGUGUGUGUGUGUGUUUAAUAGCGUGAUGGAUGAUCUCUUCUCUAACAGCCGGGGAGAGGAAAGAAAGGAUCAUUUACUUUCAGCCUCUCUCUCUCCUCUCUUUUUUAAUUCUGGAUCUUUUCCUCAUCUGCCAGUAUCUCUCGCUUCCCCCUCUCUCUCUGCAACACCCUUUCACUGUGGAGAGCAGAAGAAGAAAGAUGUUUGUUCUUGGAGAUACUUGAGGAAAACAAGAAAAUAGCUGCUGCUGGAUGUUAACAUGCAGCGCUGCAUGCCUUAAAUAACACACACGCUACAUGGUAGUGCAGCGAUGCCAGGAAUACCUACUGUCUAUCUGCUGGUGCAUAGUGCACGGGACAUGAUGGAUACUGCUUUGACUGAUGGAAACUGACACCAGUGACAGUGAAGGAGAAUAAUAAUGAUGGAAGACAGAAUGAUUUGUUCCCAGCCAGAGCCACAACUGCCAUCCUGCUUUGCAGCAUUACUCGCUAAAGGUUCCGCUGGCCGCGCUGCCCGGUUCUGCCCGACCGCUUGCCGGACCCUCUGGCCCUCCAGCCUGCUUGGUUCUGCCCAGCCACUUCCCGGUCCCUUGGACCCACCGGUCUGCCUGGUUCUGCCCAGCCUCUCACGGGACCCUUAGACCCCCAUCCCUUCCCUGCCAGGUCAGGUCGUGAAGGUAACAGACGAAGCAGGCCGUUCCAGACAUACCUCCACCCUGGCAACGCUUUCCAGCUCUUCCUGAGGGAUCCCGAGGCGAUCCCAGUCCACCUGUCCAUCUCGCGCUCCACUUUCUGCAAUCAUUUUCUGUGAUCAAACUGGUGUGGUGGUGGUGGUGAUGGAUUUCGCACAGCUACUACAGCACUGCUGGGCCUCGUUUCCCAUCUAUCACCCUCCUGAAGGUGCAACUGACAUCAACACCUUCUCUUAUUUGGAGGCCAAUGAUUCAGCGUCUUUGAGCUUUUGGAAAAGCGCUUUAUAAAUAAAAUUUAUUAUUAUUAUUAUUAUUAUUUCCUGUUCCUGACACAUAGGUUUUCAUUUGCAUUGUUGAUGGAUUUGCAUCUGCUCACUGUGUGCUGAGAAACAACAAAGUUUAACACUGUAUUUACUUUACAGAUUUCUCAGAUGUGCGACUAUUAUUCCUUUUCCCUCAGUAGGGUUCUAUGUGAUACUGAUACUACAAAAGCAUUGCCAUAUUCUGCCACAAAAAGACAAUACUAUUCCCCAUCUUAAAAGCACCAAUCAAGAGAGACAGUGUGUCUCCUGUGAAUUAUGUUGAAGUGCCACAGGUGUUGGUGUCUGUGUGCAGCACUUGUCUUUCACUCCCAGCAGGUAAAGUGGACGUUUCAACCACUUUUUUCUCCUCUAAUAUGCACACAGCAUCUUUCAUGGUGACUAGGAAUGAGUACCAAGCCCCAGAGCCACAGUUCUGCUAACAGUACUGACAGAACAGCAAACAAAAUACAGACAAAAACACAGUUUGAGAAGACAGCUUACCCAAAACUUCCAUCCAAAAUGGAACAUGUGCAUAUCAAUGUUUACUAAGGAAUGAUCACUUAUAGUCCUGUUGGAGAGAACAGCAUGUCUCCUACCUUCCAAAAGAGUAAAUAACAGUCACAGAUUGUCAAUUGUGAGGAUAACCACACCUCUGGACAAGAGAAGGUUGCAUUCUUCAUGGUGACCUCCUGACCUUCUUCUCAUCCUAACACCCAGAACUUUCUACAGAAGAAUGAACUAAUUAGUUCCAAAACAUGAAAUUAAGGAACUCUGGAGAGAUUUUUUCUUUUUUAUUUUCUUUUUUGCAAAUGGUGAUUGGCUGCAAUGUCUGCAUGUCAUCUUACCUGUCUGAGGCAAAUAUUACAUUAAAAAAUAUAUAAAAAAUAAAAAUAAAAAAACUGAGUAAUUACAGAACAAUCAGCAGUAUUUGACUAAAGUUGUGAUCUUAUGAAAAUAACUGGAUAAUUAAUAAUAUAGUCAUGACGCACAGACAGAGUCCAGCAAAGAAAGCUGCAAAUCCAACACGUGACACACAUUACAAGGAUAUGUUUUAUUUAAGUCUUACUUACAAUAGUGAGUUAUCUUAUUCAAAGCGGAUAUUCCAAACAACAGGUCUUAUAAGCUGGUGGCCGAAAGUAAUCACAGGCUUCGAGCGAAUAGAAACUUUCACAAGUAUGAAUAUAAAAAAUAUAAGCUGACAUGCAAAGAUUAACUUAGUUUAUUCAAGGUUUAUGUCAUCUUAAUUUGUCAUCAUUACCUUGAAAAUGAACUGCUGAGAGCUGUAAUUUAAUGGAUUAUUGUAUUGCAGUAACUUGUGUUCCUCUGAAAAACUAUGUAUUGACUUAGCAGUAACACUACACUCAAAAGCCAGUUCUUGGUUAUAUAAUUCAUAGAUAUAAUCAGAAAUUUCUCAGCUAAUUCUUCAUGAUGUGUCACCACUGGUCAGACAAAAUAACAGAAAAAAAAUUAAUCUGAAAGAAACCCUGAAUUAUUAAUCAAAUGAAAGUUUAAGAGAAGGCGUUCUUGUCAAGUAUUCAGUCUGUCUGCACUUUCUGUUUAAUUCCCAGCUCUGGUUUUAAUUUUGCAACACUACAGGACCAGUUAACAUAACCAUGUUAAAACACUAGUGACAACGCCUGCUGGGAGCUUGGGACCGGAGGAAAGUCUCCUAGCAGCAGCAGAAUUAAUAUGAAUGAAAGCUCAAGAAUGUGGAGCAGUUGUGACUUUCAGCACAUCUCCCCAACGUGUACUUAAACCCGUUUACACAUUCAGAUUCAUUGAUUUCUCUGAAUUCAAUGUCUUCUCUUCACACAGACAUUGUGAAGAGAGGUCUUUGUUAUACAGAUACUAUAUAUCCAUUCAGCUCUUUGGAUAUAUAAUAUUCACAUCAGUGAGUGCGCAAGGAUCUGCCUGACAUAAAUUUCCUCAUCUUCUCAAGUCCUCAGUCUUUGAAUAGAAGCUGCAUUAGAAAAGAUAAGAUAUUGGUUAUGGUAUUGAAAAAAACAGCACUGACUGCUGUUAGACAUGGGAUGUGAACACUGCUUUCCAAUAUGUAGUCCACAAAAGCCUAUGCCAAGCCACUUUCGCAGUGCUAUGUUAAUGUUACACUACUUCCCACAGUCAUACCUAAGACCACAAGACAUCUUUGUCUGAAAAUGGUCAAUGCUAUUUUUCUGAUGAAGACAAUCUCACAACACAUAAUUAAAGAGCCCCAUAUUCAAGGGGAUUAUGAUUUUGCAUCGGGGGCUGGUUCCGGGGUUCAGAUUCCAAAGGAAUCAUUAGGAAUUUCAAUUUUAAAUCUAAAUCUAAUUUUAACUGUACACUGUUUGAGAAUUAGCUACAGAGAACACCUUAAUCCUUAAUCCAAUGGAACAGUAGUAUCGAAUGCUCAACAAACUGAUGAUGAAGAGAAAACAAUGAUUUUUUUACACAGUAGCAACAAAAGCAGAAUACUAAAAACUCAAAUAACUGCAUUGUGCCCACUACCUUUGUGCAGCUGUUGUACUAUGUUGAAUUCCACAUGAAUAAAAUUAAAAAGCAAAAACACCCACGUUAAACCAAAAAAACUUUUUAGAAUAUUAUGAACAUUUAAAUGUGUAUUUACGUCAUUAGUAUACGAUUUAAUCCUGAGGAAGUAUUUCUUUUUACUUUUUUGCCUCCAUCUGCUUCCUUAAGUUAAGCCAUCACUGACCUAGGUCUUUUUAAAUCACAGCUCAAAACCUUCCUGUUUAAAAUGGCUUUUCAUACCUAGCGGCAUGGGGACAUUUUACUACUUUUAUUUCUUUUGGAUGUAUAUUUUAGUGCUGUUUUAUUGCUGUGUAUUUUAUUGUUUUUUUGUAUAUUUUAUGGGCUGCACAGUGGCGUGGUAGUUAGCACUUUCACCUUGCAGCUAGAAGAUCCCUGGUCCACAUCCCAGCCUUCCAGGGAUCUUUCUGCAUGGAGUUUGCAUGUUCUUCCUGUGCAUGUGUGGGUUUUCUCUGGGUACUCUGGUUUCCUCCCACAGUCCAAAAAUGUGCUGAGGUUAACUGAUUAUUCUAAAUUUGCUCGUAGGUAUGAGUGCUAUUGCCAUUGCUUGUCCUGUUUUAAGUUACUGUAUUGUUUUAAGUUAUUAUCUUGUUUUUCACUGUGAAGCACUUUGGUCACCCUUUGGGCUGUUGUAAAGUGCUAUAGAAAUAAACUUUGCUUAAGUGUAUCGUUUCCUCUGGGGUUAACAUACAGUCUUUAUCGUGCCUUCAAUAUGUUAAAUGACUAAUGGGAUGAGGGAUGUGCUACCUCUAAAUGGGCAGACAAGGAAAUAUUACAUGUGAAGGUAAUUUCCAGCUUGCUCAGGAAAGAGAACAGUGUGAGCAGCAGACAGUCAGCUCCAAUGUUUGUACGAGGAAGAGGAAAGAGAUGAAUCCUCAAAAGAGGCCCUCCACUUUGGUUGGACAGUGCCAACAUGUUCCAUUUCCCAGCAUGCAUCACAGAAGAGAGGAGGGAAGCAGAGCGUUAUUAUUAUCAAUAAAUUCAUCUAAUUAUUUUUAUUAUUAUAAGUGAGUAAUGCUGCUCAGUUCUGUGAAUGUAGUGAAACAGUACACUGCAUGCACAGCAUUGAUAGUAUUUACUAUUAAACUGUACGUCAUAUUUUGCAGCUUUGUGAAUCACUGUCAUCAGUUACUGUUUUUGCUGAAAGAGAAGGUAAAUGAAUAAGAGAAUAAUGUAAGAUGAAGAGACUAACCCUCGGUACCCUAGAAAAUGCUGGUGGCCAAGUCUUCUUUGAAAACAAAACAAAAAAAAACCACAAAAACCACACGUCAUCUAUCAUAGACAAAAUCUGUGAAAACAGAAACAAUCCUCAGAUUUUCCAACCAUCUUUGAACUAAUCAUGUGUGAUGUACACUUCUGUCUGGGAUAUUAAUCAAAUCUAAGCUUAUAAUUGUGAUAUUUUACUUCUCGUUCAAAAAUUUGACACCAAAUACUGAAAAAAAAAACAAAAUUGCGUGCUCCUCAGCACAACUGAGAAGCCAUGAUUGACUCAGCUGUGACCAACAGACAAGACAACAAGAGAUACUGUGAGGAAAACAAAAAAUAUAAAUAAAUACAAUAAACGCAGCAUGGCUGAAAUGUGGUAUAUAGUGAAGCAAGUUGUUGGUAGGUACAUAUAGCAUGGUGAGAUCUUUUUGGAGUUGAAAAACACAGUCUGUUAUACGUAGCUAAAUAUGUACAGCAUGUUUUUUCAGUACUGGUAACACCUGUAGGCAUUUGGAAAAAUGUUCAUGUUGAUUGCAGGUUUGUUCUAUUUUCGUAACAUAAAUUAAAUUCCGAGAUGGGGUACCAGGGACCAACAACCACAAACCCAUAUAAUCUCAACACCAGGGCAGCUCACCUGAGACCAAAGAGCAUAACUAAGCUAAAUACUUGUAACUAUCAUUUGCCAAGACUAACUGAAAAGUACCUACUGAAACUCUUCCAGAAGAUGUGUUUGCAGCUCGACUAAAUAUUCCCACUGUGACCAUCACUGAGACAAUAGGCUGAUAUAUGCAACAGUAACAAGGCCAAAAGAUGAAUAGAAUAGAAUAGAAUAGAAUAGAAUAGAAUAGAAUAGAAUAGAAUAGAAUAGAAUAGAAUAGAAUAGAAU